rnacentral:rRNA from 1 species
GACGAACGCUGGCGGCGUGCCUAAUACAUGCAAGUAGGACGCUGAAGGAGGAGCUUGCUUCUCUGGAUGAGUUGCGAACGGGUGAGUAACGCGUAGGUAACCUGCCUGGUAGCGGGGGAUAACUAUUGGAAACGAUAGCUAAUACCGCAUAAUAGUAGAUGUUGCAUGACAUUUGCUUAAAAGGUGCAAUUGCAUCACUACCAGAUGGACCUGCGUUGUAUUAGCUAGUUGGUGGGGUAACGGCUCACCAAGGCGACGAUACAUAGCCGACCUGAGAGGGUGAUCGGCCACACUGGGACUGUGACACGGCCCAGACUCCUACGGGAGGCAGCAGUAGGGAAUCUUCGGCAAUGGACGGAAGUCUGACCGAGCAACGCCGCGUGAGUGAAGAAGGUUUUCGGAUCGUAAAGCUCUGUUGUAAGAGAAGAACGAGUGUGAGAGUGGAAAGUUCACACUGUGACGGUAUCUUACCAGAAAGGGACGGCUAACUACGUG